UUUUCUGCAGGCCUCCUGCUUCUCCUCCAAAGGCUCUCUGAAUCCCAUGCCUGUCUCCAGGGGGCUGCCUCCUCCAGGAAGCUUAUGUCAGGACAUGGGUGAGACGAUGGAGGUAGGGAAGUACCCCUUUCCCCUUCACCUCAGAACCUGGAUGGUGACCCCCUACUGAAUGAGCUGGAGGAAUCCUGCGAUACUGGGCCUUCAAGUCUGUCACCACCGGCAGCUCGUUUGGCUGGCAGGGCCUGACAUUACACGCCUGUCUGUACUCUUUGCUCCGGAGUGGACCUAUCGAUUCUUAUCGAGCUGCCAGCUAAACUGAAGAGAAGGGGGCAGACAGGAAAGGAGGCCUGGGAAGAGAAGGGGUCCCAGGAAUAAUUAGGUCAGUGGACGAGGCAGGCACAGGUCAAAUGAGGGACUUGACCCUGGAUCAUCCCAGUCCUGGCAUCCUCUGUUGGGGAGAGGCCCCUACUCAGUGCCCCCGCACCCAGCAGGAGCUGGCUAGGGGAGGUCAGAGUAGGAAAUGGCCAGGGGAGGGUUAGGGUCUGCUGAAGGCCAAGAGGCAAAUGAAAUGCAAAUUUGCAUACAAAUGAAUGACCACUAGGUUUGCCUGGAAGAUUUCUGGGAGCUUAGAAGUCCCAGCCAGUCAAAGGGGUUUCUCCUGCUUUCACCUUCACAUUCUCCCACGAGGUUCCAGAAUUGUCUUGUUGUGCAGAAUUGCACAAUAAGGGGUAGAGAUUACAUAUAUGAUGUAUUGCCUUUGCUGUUUUUGCUUAACUUGAAGUCAGCCAAUUUGGGUACGUUGCCAGCUGUGUGACCUUGGGGAAGUCACUUGACUAGGCACUUCAGUUUCUUCUCUUGUAAAAGGAGAAGAAAGCAAGCGUGACCAGUCUAUCUCCUGGGAUGGCAGUGGAUAUUUAUGUUAAUUAUCACUCACUUAUUUAAUUAUCACUCACUUAGUCACUGAACAAAUGCUGUUUACUUACUAUCGGGUAAAUCUCCAGAAGGGCAGAUGUCUCCAGGAUAUAAGGACUCUUUCUAAGUCACUUAAGACCCCUGGGGGACUUUGAAUUCCAAUGGGGAUCAGGUCCAGAUCUAAGGAUUCUUAUCUAAGCUCUUUCCAGAUCAUUCUCUGACUGCUGCCUGACUCCAACAGCCUGGGACAUUUUGGGGCCUGGGGAGGGAGGCGCUGUCUGGGGGUGGUGGAGGAGCACUGCCAGCUGGGUCUUAUCUCCCGUAGCUGAUGUUAGUGACCACAUUCCUGACCUCUUGCAGCAGUGGGGCAGAUACCGACCUCAGGUUUCCAGCACCAGCCUGCCCUUUUCCACCACAUCUAGAUUGCUCUGUGGUUCAGAGCCUUUUCACUUUUAUCUGAGUGUCUCUGGGAGAGCUGGGGAGGGGGCAUUUUUGAGCACCCUUGUUCCCAGAACUGAGGCUCUGAGUUGGGGGUGGGAGGCCAGGUGGGAAGGGGGAUGGGUGAUUGUGAGGCCAGUCCCGGGUGAAGGGGGAGCAGGAGGGGCCCUGCUGAGAGAGGCCAGAACAAAGACAUUGAAGAGAAGGCUAGCUGAGUAAAGAGACUUGGCUGAGGUGGGGGUCCUGAAGGAGGGGAAAUGGUCCCCACCCCCAUCCUGCCCUGGGACCCGGUGUCCUGCUGAGGGGUCGCUGGGGAGCUGGGAACCUGAGAGACAGGUUUAAUUCCUGAGUAAAUUCUGAGAUGACCCUGAUAAGGAGGGGUCAGCUCUUUCCUCCCCCUCCUGGCACUCUCCCAGGGAGGGCGGGAGCCACAGCCCUGGGAGAACUAGAUAGUGGGGGGGAUUAAGGGAUUGGGGGAUCAUGAGGGCCUGGAGCUCCUUAGGCUUUGCUUUAUCAUUUAGGCUAUAAAUUUUGUACCCAACCCUGAGGAGGAGGUUGUUUAGAAAAGGAACUGAAAUGUGAGGGUGGGGGUCUAUAGCGGGGAGUUAUGGGGUGGGAUGAGGAUUGGGCACGUGUCUGAUUCUCCUCAUCUUCUCCAACAACUGAAGGAUAGAGAAUGACUCCAGACAGGAUUUCCAAAAGUGUGUGUGUUACAGGCAGUGAGAGGUCCUUUCAGGGACAGUAGGGGGCAGUGAGGUGGGUGAGCAGUUGGCCUGGGAGGCUCCCUUCAGCUCCCCUCAGUGGAGGGCCUGGCUUGCAGGCUGCCCACAGGAGGACUGCAAGGGGUCCUGAGUCAGGGGCAAAGCCUGAGAGGAAGAGGACAGGGGAGGGGGCGGGAGUGAAACCCGAGGGAAAAGAGUCUGGGGCUGCGUGAGAAUUCCUGGCAUGUAAGGGAAGCUCCGUAAGUGACUUUGAUUCAAACCAUUAAUGAAAAGGAUGUUCUAGGAGAGGCGGUUGGUGGGGGGGGGAGGGGUGGUCAGGAAAUGUGGUUAGGUAGGCUGUGGAGGCUGGUGGGAUGAUGGGGAUGGCAACUGGGUUGGGAGCAGGAACCCAUGAGAAUCCCUCAUGACUUUUGGGAAUUUCUUUGAAAGUGUCCCUGCCCGCUGUGGAGGCCCUGCCUGUCCAGUGUCAGUAGCAGAGGGCUUCUGAGGGUUCUGUCCAGGCCCUGUCCCUAGGGUUCGGAAGAUCAAAGAAGGUUCUGGUACUUUUAUAUCAUUGCUUCAGUUGGAUUUGUAUCCUGGCUUAUUUUCCAGGGAUAAAGGUCAGCCCUGAGAAGCAUGUAGCGGUCCAGGAAUCUCCAGUGAUAAAGCUCAGAGAAAUCAGGCCCUUCCGGAGUCCCCUCAGCUCCCUGGGGUCCCCUGCGGUCUCCUCUGACAAAGGCAGCUCUCGCCUACCAGGGCAGGGGUGGCCGCUCCUGUUCUUAUAACCUCUUCCCCUUCCCUGCUUCUGACCCUGGUGCUCCUGGUCACUCCAGGUACCUCACUGCCAUCCCCCAGCCCAUCACCUCUUUUCAGUCUGCCAAGAGGUGGGUGGGGCAUAGAAUGAGUGUGGUGUCCAAAGACCUGGGUUCAGGGUUCCACUGCUGGCUGGGUGAGCUUGGGCAAAUUUACCUGCCUUGGUCUCCUCAGUUGUAGAAUAAGGAUAGUAGUUAUAUCUACAACUAGAGUUUUCAUGAGGAUCAAAUGUGACAGUCUGCCUGGAAGAGCUUUGACAGCAGAAUAAGCUAGUCAGUUUCCUUUCUUUUCCGGUUUGCCCGCAUUUAUUCCUUUUCUUCCCAGACCCUUUAUUUCACUCUCACUACCUUCUAGCCUUCUGCUCCCUGCUCAUCACUAUUUCUUUUACUUUCAUCUUGAGCACGGAGCAGGGUGACUAAAACUGAGUCUAUGGAAAAGGGAUGAAAUGGAAAAGUAGAGUGUCUGAGAACCCAUUUCAAACCCGUCCCAUCAACGUCCACAUCUCUAUCAGCCUCUCUCGCUUUGGCUUUGAACCUGGCAGACCUACCAGCAAUGUCUGGGGAAACUGGCAGCUAGACAAGCAGCGCUACAGCUUGAGUGAGGCAUAGGAUAUGGAAUGCAGCUUGUGGGGCCAAGGCUAGCCCUCAGGGCCUUUGCACAAACUGGAGGAAGUCAGCCUCCUUGUCUCUUUGGCCUGGUGCCCUUGUGCAAUGACUGACUUGCACAGGCAGAUGUGGUAGCCCUGUCUGAAGCCACCCCCCUUGGGGAUUUGGGGAAAACCCUGGUGUGGAUGAGCUGGCCUGUGAUAAAAGAUCAGACAAAAAAAGUGGGCAGAGUCUGCACAAAGGGACCCAAGGCAAGAAGAGGAGGAAGAGACAGAGGAAAAAGAGAGGAGAAAGGAGAGGAGAUCCAGACGCCUGUCCGCUCCCAAAAGAGACCAGGGGAGAGGCCUGUCAUGAAAGCCAAAAAGAAGGAAUUUCAAGGAGGGGCAGACACACACAGAGAUCAAGGGGGCUGAGGACAAGCACAGCACUUCCGAUAAAGCGAUGGAGACCAAAGCCAUGUGCUGAAAGGACAAGGUGAAUUAAACCAGCCUGGUAGGGCCUGGAGCAUCACAGGUGCUCCCCUGCCUCCUUCUCCUGGAAGAAUUAUCAGCACAGAGGUUCAAGUCUCUCAGUUUGGUUCAGUUCCACAGUGAGCUGGGGAUAUAGAGAUAAAUAAGAAUUAACAGCAAUAAUCAAGGAGAAGACUAUUAAAGGGGACAGAUAACUGUAUGAUAGGUGCUAUGAAAUGUCCUAAAGUACUAUCAGAAGAUGGAAUAAUUCAUCCAUUCAUUAACAAUUUAUAAGGCAACUGUUUUGUGCCAGCCAUGUUCUAGGCUUUGGGGGUACAGCGAAGAAAAGUCAGAUAAGGUUGUUGCUCUUACAGAGGUCACAUUUUAUGUGUUGAAGGAUUGGGAUCAUGGAGAACCUCAUGUAGGAGGGAAUGCGCCGAACUUCAAAAAAUGAGCAGGAACUUGCUAGAGAAACGAGGGGGUCAGGAGAAUUCUUUCCAGGUAAAACAUCCGGCACUGAGACCGGUUACAGUAUCCAACAGAGUCCCCUCCUCUGAGUUUCAGAUCUGUAUCUCCUGAACAUCACUGGGUAUUGUAGCUGAUUGAUUUCCAAUAAAUCUUUUUUCAUGUUUUUACCUUUUUAUUUUUGGCCUCACCUGGAAGCUUGUAGGAUCUUUGAAGCCAUGCCCUCGACAGUGAAAGCAUGACAUCCUAAACACUGGAAUUCCGAAAGAAAUCUUAAAGCUAUUAGAUGUAAGGCAUCUGUUUUUUUUUUUUUUCCCCUCUUUCUUUUUUUAAAAAAAUUCAGGAAUAAAACCACCAUAUGACCCA